GAUGAACGCUGGCGGCGUGCCUAAUACAUGCAAGUCGAGCGAACGGACGAGAAGCUUGCUUUUCUGAUGUUAUCGGCGGACGGGUGAGUAACACGUGGAUAACCUACCUAUAAGACUGGGAUAACUUCGGGAAACCGGAGCUAAUACCGGAUAAUAUUUUGAACCGCAUGGUUCAAAAGUGAAAGACGGUCUUGCUGUCACUUAUAGAUUGAUCCGCGCUGCAUUAGCUAGUUGGUAAGGUAACGGCUUACCAAGGCAACGAUGCAUAGCCGACCUGAGAGGGUGAUCGGCCACACUGGAACUGAGACACGGUCCAGACUCCUACGGGAGGCAGCAGUAGGGAAUCUUCCGCAAUGGGCGAAUGCCUGACGGAGCAACGCCGCGUGAGUGAUGAAGGUCUUCGGAUCGUAAAACUCUGUUAUUAGGGAAGAACAUAUGUGUAAGUAACUGUGCACAUCUUGACGGUACCUAAUCAGAAAGCCACGGCUAACUACGUG
rnacentral:rRNA from 1 species